rnacentral:rRNA from 1 species
ACGGGAGGCAGCAGUGGGGAAUAUUGCACAAUGGGGGCAACCCUGAUGCAGCAACGCCGCGUGAGUGAAGAAGUAUUUCGGUAUGUAAAGCUCUAUCAGCAGGGAAGAUAAUGACGGUACCUGACUAAGAAGCACCGGCUAAAUACGUGCCAGCAGCCGCGGUAAUACGUAUGGUGCAAGCGUUAUCCGGAUUUACUGGGUGUAAAGGGUGCGUAGGUGGCAUGGUAAGUCAGAUGUGAAAUACCGGGGCUCACCCCCGGGGCUGCAUUUGAAACUGCCAGGCUGGAGUACAGGAGAGGCAAGCGGAAUUCCUAGUGUAGCGGUGAAAUGCGUAGAUAUUAGGAGGAACACCAGUGGCGAAGGCGGCUUGCUGGACUGUUACUGACACUGAGGCACGAAAGCGUGGGGAGCAAACAGGAUUAGAUACCCUGGUA